rnacentral:rRNA from 1 species
GACGAACGCUGGCGGCGUGCUUAACACAUGCAAGUCGAGCGGUAAGGCCCUUUCGGGGGUACGACGAGCGGCGAACGGGUGAGUAACACGUGGGUGACCUGCCCUCAGCUCUGGGAUAAGCCUGGGAAACCGGGUCUAAUACUGGAUAUGACUCCAUGACGCAUGUUGUGGGGUGGAAAGCCUUGUGCGGCUGAGGAUGGGCCCGCGGCCUAUCAGCUUGUUGGUGGGGUGAUGGCCUACCAAGGCGACGACGGGUAGCCGGCCUGAGAGGGCGACCGGCCACACUGGGACUGAGACACGGCCCAGACUCCUACGGGAGGGCAGCAGUGGGGAAUCUUGCGCAAUGGGCGAAAAGCCUGACGCAGCGACGCCGCGUGAGGGAUGAC